rnacentral:rRNA from 1 species
CCAACAGGGAUUACCUCAGUAACGGCGAGUGAAGCGGUAACAGCUCAAAUUUGAAAUCUGGCCUCACGGUCCGAGUUGUAAUUUGUAGAGGAUGCUUCGAGCAUGGUCUGGCCUAAGUUCCUUGGAACAGGACGUCAUAGGGGGUGAGAAUCCCGUAUGCGGCCAGGUGCCUACGCUCAUGUGAAGCUCCUUCGACGAGUCGAGUUGUUUGGGAAUGCAGGGUCAAAAUGGGUGGUAAAUUUCAUCUAAAGCUAAAUAUUGGCCAGAGACCGAUAGCGCACAAGUAGAGUGAUCGAAAGAUGAAAAGCACUUUGGAAAGAGAGUUAAACAGUACGUGAAAUUGUUGAAAGGGGAAGCGCUU